AUUGAACGCUGGCGGCAGGCUUAACACAUGCAAGUCGAGCGAGCGGCGGACGGGUGAGUAAUGUCUGGGAAACUGCCUGAUGGAGGGGGAUAACUACUGGAAACGGUAGCUAAUACCGCAUACCAUCAGAUGUGCCCAGAUGGGAUUAGCUAGUAUGUGGGGUAAUGGCUCACCUAGGCGACGAUCCCUAGCUGGUCUGAGAGGAUGACCAGCCACACUGGAACUGAGCCACGGGCCAGAGUCCAACGGGAGGCGGCAUUGGGGAUAAUGGCACAAUGGGGGCAAGCCUGAUGCAGCCAGGCCGCGUGUGUGAAGAGGGCCUUCGGGUUGUAAAGCACUUUCAGCGAGGAGACGUUACUCGCAGAAGAAGAACCGGCUAACUCCUUGCCAGCAGCCGCGGUAAUA
rnacentral:rRNA from 1 species